rnacentral:rRNA from 1 species
UAGUGGUUGAUCGCGUCGGAAGUGUGAUCUUGGGGCUUAACCCUGAGCGUGCUUUCGAUACGGGUUGACUUGAGGAAGGUAGGGGAGAAUGGAAUUCCUGGUGGAGCGGUGGAAUGCGCAGAUAUCAGGAGGAACACCAGUGGCGAAGGCGGUUCUCUGGGCCUUUCCUGACGCUGAGGAGCGAAAGCGUGGGGAGCGAACAGGCUUAGAUACCCUGGUAGUCCACGCUGUAAACGGUGGGUACUAGGUGUGGGGUCCAUUCCACGGGUUCCGUGCCGUAGCUAACGCUUUAAGUACCCCGCCUGGGGAGUACGGCCGCAAGGCUAAAACUCAAAGGAAUUGACGGGGCCCCGCACAAGCGGCGGAGCAUGCGGAUUAAUUCGAUGCAACGCGUAGAACCUUACCUGGGUUUGACAUGGAUCGGGAGUGCUCAGAGAUGGGUGUGCCUCUUUUGGGGUCGGUUCACAGGUGGUGCAUGGCUGUCGUCAGCUCGUGUCGUGAGAUGUUGGGUUAAGUCCCGCAACGAGCGCAACCCUUGUUCACUGUUGCCAGCACGUUAUGGUGGGGACUCAGUGGAGACCGCCGGGGUCAACUCGGAGGAAGGUGGGGAUGACGUCAAGUCAUCAUGCCCCUUAUGUCCAGGGCUUCACGCAUGCUACAAUGGCUGGUACAGAGAGUGGCGAGCCUGUGAGGGUGAGCGAAUCUCGGAAAGCCGGUCUCAGUUCGGAUUGGGGUCUGCAACUCGACCUCAUGAAGUCGGAGUCGCUAGUAAUCGCAGAUCAGCAACGCUGCGGUGAU